rnacentral:rRNA from 1 species
CAGGAUGAACGCUGGCGGCGUGCUUAACACAUGCAAGUCGAACGGGAAUUACAUUUUAGCUUGCUAAGUUGUAAUUCUAGUGGCGGACGGGUGAGUAACGCGUGGGUAACCUGCCUUAUACAGGGGGACAACAGUUGGAAACGACUGCUAGUACCGCAUAAGCGCACAGAUAGGCAUCUAUCAGUGUGAAAAACUCCGGUGGUAUAAGAUGGACCCGCGUCUGAUUAGCUAGUUGGUGAGGUAACGGCCCACCAAGGCGACGAUCAGUAGCCGGCCUGAGAGGGCAAUCGGCCACAUUGGGACUGAGACACGGCCCAAACUCCUACGGGAGGCAGCAGUGGGGAAUAUUGCACAAUGGAGGAAACUCUGAUGCAAGCGACGCCGCGUGAGUGAAGAAGUAUUUCGGUAUGUAAAGCUCUAUCAGCAGGAAAGAAAAUGACGGUACCUGACUAAGAAGCCCCGGCUAACUACGUGCCAGCAGCGGC